CCUACGGGUGGCUGCAGUGGGGAAUAUUGGGCAAUGGAGGAAACUCUGACCCAGCAACGCCGCGUGAAGGAUGAAGGUCUUCGGAUUGUAAAGUUCUUUUCUAAGGGACGAAGGAAGUGACGGUACCUUAGUAAUAAGCCUCUGCGAACUUCGUGCCAGCAGCCGCGGUAAUACGUAGGCGGCGAGCGUUAUCCGGAAUGACUGGGUGUAAAGGGUGCGUAGGUGGUUUGGUAAGUUAGUAGCGAAACUCAAGGGCUCAACCCUGGUACUGCUACUAAAACUGUUGGUCUUGAGUGCAGGAGGGGCAGCCGGAAUUCCGAGUGUAGCGGUGGAAUGCGUAGAUAUUAGGAGGAACACCAGUGGCGAAGGCGGGUUGCUGGACUGUAACUGACGCUGAGGCACGAAAGCGUGGGGAGCAAACAGGAUUAGAUACCCUUGUAGUC
rnacentral:rRNA from 1 species